rnacentral:rRNA from 1 species
UGGAGAGUUUGAUCCUGGCUCAGGACGAACGCUGGCGGCGUGCUUAACACAUGCAAGUCGAACGGAAAGGCCCUUCGGGGUGCUCGAGUGGCGAACGGGUGAGUAACACGUGGGUGAUCUGCCCUGCACUUUGGGAUAAGCCUGGGAAACUGGGUCUAAUACCGGAUAGGACCACGGUCUGCAUGGAUUGUGGUGGAAAGCUUUUGCGGUGUGGGAUGGGCCCGCGGCCUAUCAGCUUGUUGGUGGGGUGAUGGCCUACCAAGGCGACGACGGGUAGCCGGCCUGAGAGGGUGACCGGCCACACUGGGACUGAGAUACGGCCCAGACUCCUACGGGAGGCAGCAGUGGGGAAUAUUGCACAAUGGGCGCAAGCCUGAUGCAGCGACGCCGCGUGAGGGAUGACGGCCUUCGGGUUGUAAACCUCUUUCAGCACAGACGAAGCGCAAGUGACGGUAUGUGCAGAAGAAGGACCGGCCAACUACGUGCCAGCAGCCGCGGUA